GGAGCCGCCUCCUGCAUUCUCCGCAACACACCUCCCACUCCUCACAGCAGCUGAUGGAGAGACACUCGACCCAGGCCAGGCCAGAGGAGGCGUUGAAGCUGGAGCAGCCUCCGAUGUGCAAGGACCGAGAGCCGACCACAGCCUCUCAGAGCACAGGGAUGGCCACACCCAGGUCACACCCGCCUCUGGACACAGAUGCUGCCACGUCCUCCCAGGGUCCCGAGGACAGGCCAGAGAAUGUGGUGGCCAAGCCAGCCUCUGCAGAGGUGGAGGGCCCUGACGGAGCCCUCUCCCAGCUUCCCCUGGCCAAGUUCUUCCCUCCGGACAACCCCACCCACCAGCUGCAGAUGCUGGAGCGGAGCCUGCGGGAGGAGGAGCUGCGAGCACAGCACCAGGCCGCGCUGCUGCGCCUGCGAGAGAUGGCGCUCCAGGAGAAAACGCUCGCGGAGCUGGCCUGGCUG
rnacentral:lncRNA from 1 species